AUGCGCAGCACUCCCCCUCUCAACGGCCGCCACUGUAGGAGUACUAAAGAAAAUAUACCCUCCUCUCGCCCUCGUUUGCAUCUACUACUCCAAGAACACACUAAAUCAAGGGGAGCGUGCAGAGAAGCCAUGGUGCAUCCGGUGGCGGAGGCCGACGAGCGGAGCCCCUUCGGCCGGCUCACCACGGAGGCGUACUGCGCGCGCCACGGCGUCAUGCACUCUUCCUCCACCUUGGUCAACCCGCGGGGGCUCCGCAUCUUCACGCAGCGCUGGGCGCCCCCGUCCUCGGCGCCAUCGCCGUCGUCCACGGCUUCACCGGCGAGUCCAGCUGGAUGGUCCUGCUCACCGCCGUCCACUUCGCCAAGCAGGGCUUCGCCGUCGCCGCCGUCGACCACCAGGGGCACGGCUUCUCCGAGGGCUUCCAGGCCCACAUCCCGGACAUCGGCCCCGUGCUCGACGACUGCGAGGCCGGCUUCGCCCCCUUCCGCGCUGACUACCCUCCCCCGCUGCUCUGCUUCCUCUACGGGGAGUCCCUCGGCAGCGCCAUCGCGCUGCUGCUGCACCUCACCAAAUCAGACACAGGUGUCGCGCGCGCGCGAGCAUCGCACCGCCCAGGGCCCGCAGCCCGCAGGCACUGAAGCAAGAUGUGGACGCCCGCAUCGUUCCGCUGCAGCCGCCGUUGCUGGGUCCAGGGCAGCACCUCCUUCGUGUCGCCCGUCAAACCACCGCCCCGGCCCCGGCGCCACCCGCAACAGCCCAACGUCGUGCUGCCGCGCCCGAACCCGGCGAGGCGGCCUCCAUUCUCCCAAGCGAGCACGCCUUCCAUCUUAUCGUCUUCCGCCGCGACGCCUCGCCCCAAGCGAGAAGGCCAGCCGCCGGGACGCCUCGCCCCCUUCCUAG
rnacentral:rRNA from 1 species